rnacentral:tRNA from 1 species
GGCGGGAUAGCGCAGCCCGGUAGCGCGGCGGGCUCAUAACCCGCAGGUCGGUGGUUCGAAUCCACCUCCCGCAA